AUUGAACGCUGGCGGCAGGCCUAACACAUGCAAGUCGAAUGGUAACAGGAAACAGCUUGCUGUUUCGCUGACGAGUGGCGGACGGGUGAGUAAUGUCUGGGAAACUGCCUGAUGGAGGGGGAUAACUACUGGAAACGGUAGCUAAUACCGCAUAACGUCGCAAGACCAAAGAGGGGGACCUUCGGGCCUCUUGCCAUCAGAUGUGCCCAGAUGGGAUUAGCUGGUAGGUGGGGUAACGGCUCACCUCGGCGACGAUCCCUAGCUGGUCUGAGAGGAUGACCAGCCACACUGGAACUGAGACACGGUCCAAAUUCCUACGGGAGGCAGCAGUGGGGAAUAUUGCACAAUGGGCGAAAGCCGGAUGCAGCCAUGCGGCGUGUAUGAAGAAGGCCUUCGGGUUGUAAAGUACUUUCAGCGGGGAGGAAGGGAGUAAAGUUAAUACCUUUGCUCAUUGACGUAACCCGAAGAAGAAGCACCGGCUAACUCCGU
rnacentral:rRNA from 1 species